rnacentral:misc_RNA from 1 species
GAUGAAGAACGUAGCAAAAUGCGAUAAGUAAUGUGAAUUGCAGAAUUCAGUGAAUCAUCGAAUCUUUGAACGCACAUUGCGCCCGCCAGUAUUCUGGCGGGCAUGCCUGUUCGAGCGUCAUUUCAACCCUCAGGGCCCUUUUGGACCUGGCGUUGGGGCUCGGCCGCUACCCUGCGGCCGUCCCCGAAAGAUAGUGGCGGUCUCGCUGUAGCCUCCUCUGCGUAGUAGUUACAUCUCGCACUGGAACGCGGCGCGGCCAUGCCGUUAAACACCCCACUUCUCAAGGUUGACCUCGGAUCAGGUAGGAAUACCCGCUGAACUUAAGCAUAUCAAUAAGCGGAGGA